rnacentral:snRNA from 1 species
AUGCUUACAUAAGCAGCACGUCUCCUAAACCUGGAACAAAACAGAGAGUAGCACGGCCCCUGCACAAGGAUGACGUGCAAAUUCGUGAAGUGUUCCAUAUUUUU